AUUGAACGCUGGCGGCAUGCCUUACACAUGCGAGUCGAACGGCAGCGCGGACUUCGGUCUGGCGGCGAGUGGCGAACGGGUGAGUAAUACAUCGGAACGUACCCUGUUGUGGGGGAUAACUAGUCGAAAGAUUAGCUAAUACCGCAUACGACCUGAGGGUGAAAGUGGGGGACCGCAAGGCCUCACGCAGAAGGAGCGGCCGAUGUCUGAUUAGCUAGUUGGUGGGGUAAAGGCCCACCAAGGCGACGAUCAGUAGCUGGUCUGAGAGGACGAUCAGCCACACUGGGACUGAGACACGGCCCAGACUCCUACGGGAGGCAGCAGUGGGGAAUUUUGGACAAUGGGGGCAACCCUGAUCCAGCAAUGCCGCGUGUGUGAAGAAGGCCUUCGGGUUGUAAAGCACUUUUGUCCGGAAAGAAAUCGCGCUGGUUAAUACCUGGCGUGGAUGACGGUACCGGAAGAAUAAGCACCGGCUAACUACGUG
rnacentral:rRNA from 1 species